rnacentral:tRNA from 1 species
GUGGGAUUAGCUCAGUUGGUUAGAGCACUAGUUUGUGGCACUGGGGGCCGUGGGUUCGAAUCCCAUAUUCCACCCCA